AGCGAGAGCAGUUGCAACAGCAGUAUGGAAGUAAAGCUCUACCAGAAGAGUUUCAAUGCUUGAUUGGGAACAAUUCUGUGAAAAAUAGCAUUCCAGACCCUGAUGUACCUCGUGGCUGUGACAGCAAUUCAUUAGAGUUUGAUCUUCUCCCUGGAUCUAAACCUAAAAUUGGAUCAGGGGAUGUUGAUGAGACUAUAACUGGAUUGUUAUCAAAUUUGUCAUUCGAAGGAUUAGGACCUCAAUGGAUAAGGCCUCAUCCUCCCAGGCUUCCUGUAUUGGAUGGAGAGCUAGUGUGGCUAAACCCCGAUUACAAUUAUGAGCUUCUAUGGGAUCAUGGAAUGUGUGCCGAUACUAGCAGAGGAGCAGCAGUCAGGGAUUUGAUUGCAAAAGCUCUAAAAGGUCCACUUGUACCUGCUCAACAAGAGCAAGUACUAUUGGAGUUGGCGAAUGAUCCAAAACUUGUCUACCAUUGUGGGUUGACACCAAGGAAACUGCCAGAACUUGUGGAGAACAAUCCUGUUAUUGCAGUUGAAGUCCUGGUUAAACUGGUGAAUUCACCAGAGAUUGCAGAAUAUUUUACAGUUCUUGUUAAUAUGGAGAUGAGUCUUCAUUCUAUGGAAGUUGUUAACAGGCUCACUCAAGCAGUUGAAUUGCCAACUGAAUUCAUACAUAUGUACAUCACCAAUUGUAUAUCUUCCUGCGAGAACAUCAAGGAUAGAUAUAUGCAAAACAGACUAGUAAGACUGGUCUGUGUUUUCCUACAGAGCUUGAUCCGGAAUAAGAUCAUCAAUGUCCAAGAUCUGUUCAUUGAAGUACAGGCAUUUUGCAUUGAGUUCUCAAGGAUUAGAGAGGCUGCUGGUCUGUUUAGGCUUCUGAAGACAUUGGAGUAGAUUGUGUGAUUCACCCCAUACCUUGGAUAAAGAAAGUUUUCUUUGAUGUGAUGUGGCAUCUGUACAUGUGUUUUGAUUUGUGAUUCCAAGUAGUUAGCACCCAAUUGUGGGUCAUUGUAUCCUUGGUUCAGCAAAUUUAUCGUUAUAAAGUUUAUU
rnacentral:misc_RNA from 1 species